GUGGGGAAUAUUGGGCAAUGGGGGAAACCCUGACCCAGCGACGCCGCGUGAGGGAAGAAGGCCUUAGGGUCGUAAACCUCUGUUGUGUGGGAAGAAGAGCGUGACGGUACCACACGAGGAAGUCCCGGCUAACUACGUGCCAGCAGCCGCGGUAAUACGUAGGGGACGAGCGUUGUCCGGAUUUACUGGGCGUAAAGGGCGCGUAGGCGGUCAUUUAAGUCAGCUGUGAAAUGGUUUGGCUUAACCGGAUCAUGCAGUUGAAACUGGAUGACUGGAGUGCUGGAUAGGCAAGUGGAAUUCCCAGUGUAGCGGUGAAAUGCGUAGAUAUUGGGAAGAACACCGGUGGCGAAGGCGACUUGCUGGCCAGCAACUGACGCUGAGGCGCGAAAGCCAGGGGAGCAAACGGGAUUAGAAACCCUGGUAGUCC
rnacentral:rRNA from 1 species